rnacentral:rRNA from 1 species
GUGACCUCAAAUCAGGUAGGACUACCCGCUGAACUUAAGCAUAUCAAUAAGCGGAGGAAAAGAAACUAACAAGGAUUCCCCUAGUAACUGCGAGUGAAGCGGGAAAAGCUCAAAUUUAAAAUCUGGCGGCCUUUUUGCUGUCCGAGUUGUAAUCUAGAGAAGUGUUAUCCGCGCUGGACCGUGUACAAGUCUCCUGGAAUGGAGCAUCAUAGAGGGUGAGAAUCCCGUCUUUGACAUGGACUACCAGGGCUUUGUGAUGCGCUCUCAAAGAGUCGAGUUGUUUGGGAAUGCAGCUCAAAAUGGGUGGUAAAUUCCAUAGUACCGUGAGG